rnacentral:rRNA from 1 species
AUUAUUGAAUGUUUGAAGUAGUUGAGCUGGUCUUCACGGACAUGUGCUUGCUGCUUCUAUUCAUCCUAUCCACCUGUGCACUUAUUGUAGAGCUUUGAAGAAUGUCUUUGUUAACUCAAGGAUUAGUAUUCUAGUUCUAUGUAUUUACAAACUCUAUGAAUGUCUAGAAUGUCUUUUAUUGGGACUUCAUUGACCCUUUAAACUUUAUACAACUUUCAGCAACGGAUCUCUUGGCUCUCGCAUCGAUGAAGAACGCAGCGAAAUGCGAUAAGUAAUGUGAAUUGCAGAAUUCAGUGAAUCAUCGAAUCUUUGAACGCACCUUGCGCCCUUUGGUAUUCCGAAGGGCAUGCCUGUUUGAGUGUCAUUAAAUUCUCAACUUCAAAAGCUUUGUCUUUUUGAAGCUUGGAUGUGAAGGUUUGCUGGCGUUUCAAAUGUUCAGCUCCUUUCAAAUGUAUUAGUGGACCCAUUUGUGUUCAGCCUUAGUGUGAUAAUUAUCUACGCUAUGGUCUUUGAAUGCAUGCUCAUUAGAACUUCGAGCUGUUUCACAGUCUCGGUGUGGAGAGUUGCAUGAAUUUGCUCUUUCUGUCUUCUGAGUUAGGCUUGUCUGCUUCUAACUGUCUGCGUAUGCGGAC